CUGGUGUCAGCUUAAUUUAAAACAGAAACCCCCUGAUCCAGGGUAGCUUUUGUUUUGUCCUAGAGAUGGACUUACUGCAGGGAAUGCCCCCCCCCCCUUUAUUUCCUUAUCAAAUCCAUUUUUUAUUCGAAAAGGCAAUUACCAAAACAAAAAUAGAGAUGAAAUGAGAAAGUAACAAGCAAGUCCACAGACCAGUGCAUUGCUGAUGCAGCUCAGUCCUUUAUAGAUUAUGGUGCAGUUUCACAUACUCUGAGCCAUGACUAAAAGUCAAUGAGAACCCCCCUACCACAUCUUGCAGAGGGAUCUAUCAGAUACUAGUUUACUGGACAAUCAAAAGUACAAGACAGUAUAGUUUACCCCGCACUGGCGAUGGAAGUUCACUGAUGAUGGUACUGUGUAUUGUCCAAUUAAACGAUUUAUUUUCAUUUUCAUAAACAGUAGAAAAUCAGAUAUUUCUCGAUUCACUCCAUACCUAUUUUACAUGUGUUUUGUACUUGACACAUACAACAAGCAUAAAUUUCUGUCUGUAAAUGUAGUGUGGCAUUAUUAAACACGUGAUUAAACAAGAGUAAAACUUUUACUAUACUUAUUUUAUGUAUCACGUGCCAUGCAGUAAUUGUUUGUGUCCCCCCCCCCCUGCAAGGACAAUAUAAUUUCAGAUUUUACGAUUCUAUGAAUACAGAGCAUAUUUUGCCAGAUACCCCUGUAUCUGGAUUGUGCGUGUCACUAUACUGCAACACUUUCUUGUUGUUCACAAACAAAACCCACGGCGGGAUAGUAAGAUAAUCUCAUUAUCUGGUAUCUGGCAGGAUGGUAAUGAAUAUUGUUUAUGAGGUAUUAGGCUUUCUUUUCAGGUUAAAAUGUAGAGCGUAUUUUAGGGCCCAAUUCAACCCGAUGAAUGCAUGGGCUAACCAAACAGUCUGAUUAACCCAUUGAGUGCAAACGCUCUCCCUUUGACGAGUAAAAUCGUCUGGCGUUAGACAGAGUAAAAUAGUUUGGCGUUAGACAGAGUAAAAUAAUAAAGUAGGGUGCAUUCUAGGGUGCAAUGCAACUUAAUGGUUAAUUUGUUUUACCAUGCAUGGUUUUGAUAUUUUGUUUGUCAAAUAUCUAUACCUUUCAUCAUGUGUUAACCAACGUCAAUGCUGUAAGCAUGUGCUAAUGAAAUACAAAUGGAGACACAAUUAAAUGCACGUUUCAGGAAGAGAAUGGAAUCGGAAGCACUUGUCAAGUGGCUUAAAUUGAUAUAUUUG